UGUGCAGCCACAAGACUCACUCCUCCCACUUCCUGCUUCCUCCCUGUCAGGCACUGAAUUCCCAACUGUCUCCACUUAUUCAAUAAUAACAGUAACGUCACUGCCACAACAGCAAGCAGGAAGAUGAUACAUGCAGAAGAAGUGACAAGCAGCUUCUUGUUUUUGCGUGGUCACUGCACCCAAACUGAUUGAACAGUCCUGACUCUGCUCAAGUUGCUGAAAUGCAUACAAAUAAUACUGUAAGGAGUUUAAAGAAGGAUAUUGGAGUGGUCUGCAGAAUAUGAGUGCUCCAGUGCAGCCACCUGACACCAGUGGCAGUGCACAGCAGCUGAACAAACCCUAGAAUUAUGUAAUGAUUAACAGAACCUUUUGCUUUAUUUUCUAGUGUACGUUAUUCCGUAUUUGUGAGCAGUUCAUACCCCUUUUGCUCUUAAACAUGUGGGAAAAACAGUAACACUAUAUUUGUUUAAGUGUUGCAUGAAAAUAUUAGAUACUUAUGUUUAAUAAUAUUUAAUGUUUAUACUUUCAAUCUCAAAGCAUAAAAGAUCCCACAGAGCUUAUUAGACACUGUAAAAUGACAAACAAAAUAUAUUUGAGGUCCAAACUCAACAGUGACAUGCAAUCAUCUCUAAUGGAUAAGAAAAACAGCUGAAUAACAGAAUACAGCAGUACCAAGUAAGAGUUCAGCUCUGUAAAUUAAUAAACUUUAUGGGAUGUGGUACUACUUUUUCACAAACUAUAUAUGAUCGUUAUUGACUCUGUGCUCUUUUUUGACUGUUUCUGGAAGACUAAACAUCUUAGAAUCGUAACAGAUAUAAGGGUGAGAGUGAAGCAUAUCCAGUCACUGACAUCUGAUCUUUACAUUCAUAUAUAAGCUUGUAUGGUUAGACGGAGUGUCUGUGCAUAUGCUUCUGUUUGGUGUUUUAUCAUGCCAUAUGUGCUUUGAGAGGCUGAUCCCUUGCAAGAGUUGUAACUAUUUUCUCUGAAAUUACUCAUUUGAAGUCAGUGUAGUAGAACACAAUCCUUGAGAAAGUGAAGUUAUAUCUAUCACUACCAUCGCUCUUGAAAUGUCUUGGAUCCUCUGCUAGAAAAAAUCUUUAGUGUGGCAGGGGUACCUGACCCAAAAACCUCACAAUCAAGAGUGAUACAAGCAAGGAGGGAUGUGAGCAGACAGGAAAGUACAGGAGAGUUAGACCAUACUGUCUUUGAUCAACUUCCAACUCUUGUCCUGUUAUUUGCAAGCUUUAUUGCAGUGAAAAUUCUAUAAAAGACAAAGAUGUACCUGCAUGGAUGUUUAAAGGACAGCACAAAGACACCUUUUCUGAAAAUCAAACUAGGUGCAAGAAAGUGUGAUAUUAUUGGGCAAUUUAGGUGAGCAAUAACUGGUUACAAAGAGUACAAAUUUAUUGAUGGAGUAAGUCAAGAAGCAUUUGAUAUUAUAGAGAACAGGGCCUAAGGGGAAACACAGAAAUACUCUCAAAUGUGAAGAUAAUACCUAGCUCUGGGUAUAAAUGACCCAUAAUGCUUUCCCUUUCAAACUGAGAAAGGAGAUAGCAGAGGUGAUUUGUUGCAGAAAAGGGAAAAAUUAAGAAUUUUAUUUUAAAAUUUUCCUUUUUAUUGAAUACCUUAUGAAAAAUUAUAGGACAGUUUUAUCAAAAAUUACGCCUUUGCAUUUUACUAGAAAUAAGAAGUAUUCUGGUGCCAGGAUUCCUGCCCAGUGGAACAAGACUGCCAUCUCGUGUUAAAUGUGUGCAAAUCUCAAGACUUACCUGCACUGUUCAUAGGCAAGGAAAGUGGGGGAGGGAGUGGAGGAAUGGUAUGUUCCCGGUGGAAAAGAUUGUCAAGGGUUCUCGGAAUUUUGUAUGCUUUGUAGUGUUUAACGCAUGUUCAGUAGGUCCAAAUGUCUCUGCUUGUUUCAGGCUUUACUAUGACGUAAACAAGAAUCUUUCAGGAAAUGUUCUACAACUUGAUGGAGAAGUCAGCUUGAACUGUACUUUAGAAACCAACUGCUGAAAUAGGUCAUUUCAGUAGAUGUUCUACAAAUAGUUAUUAGUUCAGGCAUGCUGUAUAGCAGAAGAGACAUGACCUUAGAUGUCACUUAUUUAUUUAUUCUAUUCCAGCUUAUCACUCAUUAGCAGUACAAUUAGGUAUUGACUAUGUAAUUCAGGUAAAAGUUUGCGGUCUAGGAAAUGCCCUCAUUAAAUUCCCUUCUUGGCUAUAAAACUCCUGUGUCUCUGGGCAAGGUCUGUGGCAUCAUAAAGGAUGUUUUGGGUGUUCAAUUCUGUUUCAUGCUAUCCAUGAAGCUAUCUUAUCAACCUCCUCCAAAGUCCUUUCUAAAACCCCUGCUCAACAGCAGCUAGAUUCCUAAGUCUAUAUGAGAACCUGGUCCUUGUUCUCUUUAUUUGGAAAAUGACCAUAUUCUUCUGUAUUUCACAGGAGUGUUGUGAGGAUCAACAUAUUAAAGACUAUGAGGAUUUGGGUACUCUAGUAGGAAAGGCCAUGCACGCUUUUCAGAAAGAUAUGAUGUUCAUGACCUAUACAUUCGUAUCAGCAUUAACUCAUAUAAGUGCAAUUAAGUCAUAACUGCUUAUCAUUUCAUAUUUGUUGUUCUCCUGCUUUAAUAUUUUCAGUUAUUGAACCUAGGGUAGAGACAAUGCCAACAGUCAAUUCAACAGUCAUCUAGCCAUAAUGAAUAUACCCAGUCCAAGAAAACAUUUUACAGAUGGUCCAUAACUGUGUUUAUACAAACAGUUUGAUGAAUAUUUGAGUGAUUCAACGUAUUUAUAUGGAUUAGGAAAGACUCACAAAUCCUUUUAUAUCUGAGAAAUGGCUUAAAUGUUUUAAAUGUUUAGCUUGAUCUG